rnacentral:lncRNA from 1 species
CAGCCGGCUAGCGGGGCGAGAGGGGAGUCUCCCUCCCAUGGUCCCAGGGUGGGGAGCUGACUUUAGGGACAGGGAGGGAGAGCCCUAGAGCCGAGGGGCUAUGAGGGGGGCUAUGCAGCACUGAGGGUGCUCGCUCACCCAGGCAGGUAGCUCUCGAUGGCUCAUAUAAAGUGUUUUCGCCGUGAGCCGCUCCUCAUCGUCCAGCAGCUGCCGCGCUGCCCGAAGGCUCCGUUCUUUCUCGUCGCGGACCCGGCGCCAGCCCAGGUAGAGGGCGAGGCCGAAGAGCACGAAACCCACGCUGAGUCCCACUGCCCCAGCCAGGUACACCGGCACGAGCACAAGCAGCCGCCGCCCGAAUGAAGUCAGCAGCGCUAGGGCCUCACCCGCCGCGCCUGGGCCGGCAGGUUGGUUCCCAGAACUCAGGUCCCGCUUUGUGUGAGCAGCGGGGGGCUGGUCAGGGGGGUCGGAGGGAGCAGAGGGCUGAUCCGCGGGGCUGGGGCUGGAGCCGUCUCCAGGAGAGCGCUCCAUGUUGCCACCUCUGGGAGGACCCGCCCGACCCAGAGACUAGGAGAAGGUUGCUUAGCCUAGCGACCAGCUGCCCCCAACAAACCGUAACCCCUAGGCUGGGGGAGGGGAAUUUAAGCCACGCCCCUUCUUUCUGAGGGCUCGGGUUGGCCGGCGCUGCAUAGACCAAGGCGGAGUCAAAAGACAGAAACCCUGCCCCUCUUCCGCCGGGAGGCGCUAGGGUUCGGGAGAGGCAGGACCUCCCUGAUUAGAUCGAGUGUCAAGAUGGGCAGCCUGGGAUGGCGGGAAAAGGAGGAAAGAGGCUAAAAGAGCGGCACUUGAUUGGUCAGAAAGAGGAGGCGUGGUGUACCAUUUAAAGAGAUGAGGCCCUGGCGCUCCCCCACGUGGAAUGGGAGUGCCUGUGGUAUGACAUCAUGCGGAGCCGCACCGCCAAUUACUCCGUUUUAGAGGGACUUGGGGUUGAGGGGUUGUGGAGGAUGAGGAUUUACUUCCACUCCAUUCGGACGGGUUGGCAGGAUUUGUCUGGAAUUCCUACAUGUUCGUUUGUCAGCUUUCCCUAGUUUUUAUAUUCUAAGCACGUUUCUUAUUCUUCGGGGUUUCCGUGGCUGGCCUUACAAAACACCCCAUGUGGAAUGAAAGGUUCUGUCUAUGCGGUCUUCAGCCCUCUACUUUGUGCAGUGUAACGACAGACGCUACAGAAAAACUGGAGAAUACGAGAAUUAGAGUUAGGAUUCUCCAGCCUUCAGGGAAGAGAGAGAGAGACAGAGAGAAAACGGUGUGAAUAGGAAGUGAGGCUUUAUUUCUUAUUAGUAAUCUCCAAGAUUUAGUUAGUUAUCUUUAUCAUAGAGGGCAAAUUAAACUGGCUCCCAAACGGUGGGGGCGGGAGUGGGGAGGGGAGAUGCCUCGGCUGCAGUGGAAUUGGUUACAUUUCCCAUGAUUUCCCUGAUCCUGAGGAACUGAAAUGAAGAGUAAUGAGACAAUUCUGUUUCUUAUUUGCCUGAGUUGGAAGGAAAGUUCGGAAUACAGUAACAUGUAGAACUAAUGCAAUUCCAUGUUGUAUAGUGUAUGUGUAGGAAGGGAAAAGCGCAGGGUACAUUGAUGAUGACUACUGUUACUAGUUAACUGGACUUAGAAACUAGACUAAUUGGAAGCUCAGGAGGGAAGAAUUGGUCAUAAAAUGAUUAUCUUUUAAUGCAGUAUGUGUGCAGCUUGUUGUGUUAUUGUUUGAAGCAACAGGAAAAGUAGGGUUGAUUGGUGGGGAGAGACUAGAUCUGCAGCAGAUAAAUAUUAUCUGGCUCUGCAGGGCAUAGAUUCUAUCAGACUGUUUCAUCAACUCUGUUUAAAACCUAUUCCUGCUCAACCUUACCCCCUUAAAUUUUCUGACUUCCCCUUCUCUACUUCCCUGAGGCUAAACAGUAUCUAGAGUGCUUCAUUCAGUGUGCAGAACUGUGUAAGGAACAACUUUCUGCCUUUUACAUCUUCCGUGUUCUCAGAGGUAAGCAGGUAGGAAGGAGCUCAUGGAAUCUGGAAGAGGUAAGAGUGACCUGCUCACUACGCAGAAUACAGCAGGAAAAUGGAUGCGCCUCCUUGGAGGGAAAUCUCUCUGUAAACUGAAUUUUGCCAAGCACUAGAGUAGGAGGAGCAGGUCACUUAGGCUGGGGGGUGAGAGGGUGACCUAUGGAGUUUCUUUCCAAGCUUCUCUGCUUUCUCACCCCAUCUAGAUCAUCAGACCCUUCUACCAAAGACAGUCUGUGGAAGAUGAAAACUAAUCCUCAGGAAGGUCUCUUCCCAGCUGAGGCCCAGGAGGCAUAGGAUCUGCAGCUGCAAUGCAGGCACCAGAACAAGUAAACAGGGUGGGUCCCUGCCAGUAGACAAUUCUGCAGUCCAGGUGCCACCUGGUGGUGAUAAGCAGUAAAUCUGUAACAGGAGAAAGCAUGGCCAUUUGUUCGAGGAAGUGUCUAAGUGAGAAUACCCAAACUUCCUGGAUUUGCAAUCUGCAUUUAAUAUGUAAACUUCAUUAACAUCCUCAGGGAGGGAGAGGAUUAGAUGUGGUAACCUAGUCCUUGCCCCCUCUCCAAGAUGGAAGGAGCAACAGGAUUUGAGGUAAUAUCCUCUAUUAUUCCUCAAAAGUUACUGCAAAGUAGGUCUAUCAUUAGAACUUUUUUAUGCCAAGUCUGGAGUCUGACUGCCUGAAUGCCUGGCUCCAUUCCUUAGUAGUUGCAGAACCCUGGGCAGCUUACUCUCAUUAAGCCUUUCUCCUCUGCAAACUGGGUUGUAUAACAGAACCCAUUGUGUCAAAGAGAAAUUGCGUGUAAAGUGCCUAGCACAGUGCCUUGGCUUAUAUUAUUAAGUACUCAGUAAAUGUUAGCUAUUAUUCUAGAACUCCCUAUUUAUUUCCUAUGCAGCAAGACAGGACCUUUUCUCCAUUGGAGAGCCCUUCAAAUAUUUGAAGACAUCUAUUAGGUUUCCCCUCAGUCUUGUCAGGUUUUUUUUUCUGCUAUCCCCACUGAUUUAUCAAUGGGUCUCUUUGAAAAUUACACUUAGAACACAGAAUCCUUUAAGAGUGGUUUCACUCAAAAAGACGUGGUAGAACUGUUAUAUUUACAAUGUAUUACUAUGGUUCUCUUACCCUUUUGGAGCUCCUCAGAAGGUGCUUAGAACAUAGCAGGCUCUUAGUAUUUAUGGAUUGACAUACUAUAGGACUGAGUUUAAUUUUUUUGUAACCAAUUGAAGUCCUGUGUUGUUUUCAUGUGAAUUAUUGCUAACGUAGUUCUCUGCAGUUCUUUCUCAGACAGGCUCAAGCAAUUUUUUAGGGAGAGGGUCAAUCCAAAUUGAUCCAAACUGACCUCUUGGAUUAAUUCAGUCAAUCCAAAUUACAGCACUUUCAGGUUUACUUGGUAUUUCCGUGUGUUAAUGUUGGUAACAGGGCUUUUCAUAUUUUUAUAUAAAUUUUUUAAGUAAAACAUAGCCCUUGAGUGUAUCACUAGAGACCAGAAGUUUCUCUAACAAAAUGCGCUAAUCAACAUUUACUACACAAAGAUGUUGAGUUUUGACUCCGCCAAACUCUACCAUUAACUGACCCAUAAUUAUUCUCUUUUCUGCAAUGACUUAGCAGAUGAGGAAGAGCAAAGCAGCCCUGCCAUCUGGGGACAGGCCUGGCAGUGCUGGGCUUCGGGUUGUUAAGGGCUGACCUGGGCUCACAGCUAGGAAAUGAUGUUCUCCUACUGGACACAAUCUCAUGAAACACCAACAUCACACAAUGGCACUCAGUGACUGUGAUGAAGUGAGGCAAAAAAAACCAAGAUCACACUUCACAAUUUUGUUUAAACACAAAACAAGGUCAGUGUGCAAGUCAUGAAAUAGCAAACAUCCCCUUCUCCCAACUAAUGGGUGACUGCUGCUUUAUUACCAAUUUCAGCUUCACUCUAGUCUGCUCUUUUCCUAGUUAAGAUACCCAAUCACAGAAGUAUCCCUGCUUCCCUGACAGCACCCAGUGGAACCAAGCCCCACUUCCUUGAACCUUCCCCCAAAUCACUUAACCAGAGUCCCAAGUCCUAAAAGUCCUUUCUAAUGUCCCUUUGCUAGGCAUGGGUCCCAUGGCACACUCUCCAUAACUGCAGUGAGCAUUAAACCCAAUUUGUUUGACUACAGGUGUAUUCCUGGCAGUCUUUGGCUGGCAUAUGUUAAGAAGAUACAAUGAUUACAGUUUCCCAAAUCUACCUCUUUAGAGAUACUUGGCAAAAAGAAAAUAGUCAGGAUUUGGCUGGGAUGAACUCAUGUUGGUAUCUAUCAUCACAUUUGUCUCUACUCAUAAACCAUUUCUUUUAAUAAUCCAGAACUGUGCCAGAAAAAUCAACAUUAAGCUUACCAAUGUGUGGUUUCUAGAGUCCACACACAAUAUUUCAGUAUUUGACCACUUCUAGUCUUUAGGCCUUUUCUUUUUUUAUGACCAGCCUUGACUGAGCAUACCAUCUCCAACCCCAGGUGUAACCUGAGUGAUCAACCAGACAAAACAAGAGGUAGCAGCAGAUAUGAUGGGGGAAGCACAACUCAGAACCAUGUUCUGUAUCCCAAAUCCACUGUCUCAUCAGACUAGAUACCUGAGUUGUUUCCCCUACAUCAACUACGAGCUGAGGAGGAACUGAGGUUUGGCUACUGGGGUCCCUGGCCUUAUGGACUCUUAAUUGGAUUUAAAACCUCUGUGGUUCUAUAUGGAGGCAAAGGGAAGAGAUGAACCCUGAGGUUUGUGUCCCCAGGAGAACUUUCCUUUUCCCAGCACCUCCCAAGCCUUGAAGGCUUAAGGCAUUGGUAACUGAGGAAGGGAUGGGGUAAGAGGGGCAUUAACUGUCAUCAACCACUCAGAGAGCAACUGCCACCUGCCCUGCUGUUUGAAUAAGGGAUCUGUCAAUACAUAUCCCAUUCCCAUUUCCCAGCACAUCCACCCCUCCUUAGUACCUGCCCCCCUAAAUGACCCCAGGAGCCCUGGUUACUAAGGUAUCCUGGGAAUAGUAUCAUGCAGAUAGAAACCAGCAACAGAUGGGACUAUUUUUAAACUAGACUAGGUGGCUCCAAUGCUUUUACCCCACAAAGCGCCGUUUAAUUUUGCUCUGGGUCCCUACCCUUCACCUGGCCUCUGCCCAACCUUAUCCAAGCUGUGUGAGGGUGGGGUCUUUAUCCCAUUUUGGCAUGAGAUAUAUUUACUGCUCUCAUCUUCCACACAGUUUAUCUAAGCAAGUUUUCACUGCCUCCAUUUGUUAAAAAUAAUUCUUUUUUUAUUUCUUUGGAAAGUGGUGGGCCCUGCCCUAUGGAUUUCCAAGCCAAGCCAAGGUAAUGAAUGCUCCCCUAGUCUUUGGACUGGAGUACUAUGGUCCCCACCUUCCCUUGGGCCCCGGAACAGUUUCCUGUAUUCUCCAACUCAACUAGGCCCCCAAUUGUCUGAAGGCUCCUAUUAGGCCUUCUCUCCUGGCCACCCACUUCCCAAUCUCUCCUGGCUUUCCCUCUGGGCAGGGUUUUUUUUUUGUUUUUUUUCUUCCAAAGCCAGUGCUGGAACCUGUGCUAUGCAGAAGAGAGGACAAGACAAGGGAUGUCCCCAUCUUCCCAUCAGGGUACAUACGGCCCCUCAGUCAGUCCUUCCUCUCUGCUGGCUUCAGUCUGCACUCCUAUGAAAGCCCCCUCUGUGAGGCUUGAAGGAAGAUGGACAAGAGGACCCUCAUAAAAGGGAGGUGAGAGAAAACAGACCAGCCCAACCCUUUCUCAGAAGCAAACUCCUUGUAGUCUCUUGUCCUAGUUCUUGAGUGAGCCCUUCAGACAGGGCCUGGGAGGGCUAGGCGAGUGGGUAAGGGCCCCUCGACCCCAGCCCUGGGAGGCUAUACCAGGGGAGUGUCCAUUAGCCCCAUCAGUGUGGCAUGGCUGUGAUACGCAUGCUCUGGGAAGCGAUGGGGUAAGUCACCAUGGGAGUGGUGGUGUGGCUCAUUGUGAUUCCUGCCAAGGGUUGGGCCAUCGAUACAGCCACUGGGGCCACAGGAGCCACAGAUACAGCCACAGGAGCCAUGGAGACAGGUGGGGGUGCCAUUCCCUGGGCAAUUGUUUGAGCCAGAGCAGCUGACAAUGGCGUGAUCUCUGGGUUCAAGUGUGGGGGUGGGGGUGGUGGAGCAGCAGGAGGUGCAGCAUUAGUUGGGGGAGCAGCUGGAGCUCCAGUGGGGGCCACCAGUUCUUGCUGGGAUACAGGGCGAGGCUGUAGAGCCUGGCUGCUGAGAGUAGUGUGAGUCUGGGCAAUGCCAUGGUUAAAAGUGGCAACAGUGCCCACAGUGGGGGCCAGAGUCUGCUCAGUUGCUGGUGCAGUAGAGCUCAGAGUCAUGACCUUGGCCUGAUUGCGGAACUGGGCAUUUUGUUCCAGCAGUACCUCAUUGGUGGCCAGCAGGUUGCUGACCUGCUUCUUAAGCUCCUCCACCCGCUUCCUGAGCAUGGCAUUCUCCUCCUCCAGCAGUCUGCACUCCACCCCUCGAGGUGGAGCCAAGCUAUAUUCAUAGGAUUCAAAAUGGGGGCCAUCCGGGGGGCAGCAUCCACCUCGCCGGCGCUUGGGGCCUGGUUCAUGGUCCUCAAAGCCCCUGUCAGGGAGGUCAUAGAUAUCAUAGAGGUCGUGACGUCGUCCUGGGGGGACUGGGCCUGUUGCACCACCACCACCACUGCCUCCUCCACCUCGAGCAUCAAACUCAAAAUCCCGCUGCAGGUGGCGAAACUUGCACUUGGCUCCUCUCUGGCAGUCACCCUUGAGAAAGUCACGGCAGAUAGGGACCUCCUCUUUGCCAUUCGGCAAGUCAGCUGGUGAAAGGCCCAGGCCAGCUGCCACUUUCUGCCUCAGCCGAGGGGGAAGCUCUCCUGUCUUCUUAUAACCAUCCUCAUCCUCCUUGGAGCCAUGGAUGAAUCGGCAGUUUGGGCGGCUACACUCCUUGUUCUGGAAGUCAUGGCAGAAGAUGAACUCAUUUUUGCUCACCCCCAAGUUGGAUACCUCACUCAUGUCUGGAUGACGAUAGCGGCAACGCUUGCCUCGCUUGCAUACAUUCCUCAAGAAGUCUC